GACUAGUCGUGAAAAAACAGCCUCCUGUUUGUUUGACAUUAAAGCAGGAUAUAUCCAAAGUCAGAAUGGACUGGCCUGGUAGAUGGAGUCAUGUCCAGAAGUUGCUGGAGAGGAGUGGACCAUUCGCUCACCCUGAGUUUGAGCCAAGCACAGAGAGUUUGAAGUUUAUUCAGGACACAUGUAAAAUUCUAGUUAUUGGAGCUGGAGGCCUGGGGUGUGAGCUUCUCAAAGAUUUAGCAUUGCUGGGUUUCCAAAACAUUGAUGUAAUAGACAUGGACACCAUUGAUGUCUCCAACCUCAACAGACAGUUCCUGUUCAGGGCAAAGGAUGUGGGUCGAUCUAAAGCUGAGGUGGCGGCGGAGUUUGUCAACAAGAGAGUACCAGGAUGUAAAGUGACCCCUCACUACUGUAAAAUUCAGGACUUUGAUGAAUCUUUCUACAGAAAGUUCCAUAUUGUGGUGUGUGGAUUAGAUUCCAUUGUUGCCAGGAGGUGGAUAAAUGGAAUGUUGAUCAGUAUGCUGCAGUAUAACGAUGGAGAACUUGACCCCAGCUCUAUAGUCCCCAUGGUAGACGGAGGUACAGAGGGAUUCAAAGGCAACGCAAGAGUUAUCCUCCCUGGAAUGACAGCGUGUGUGGAGUGUACUCUGGAUCUAUAUCCACCACAGGUGAAUUUUCCUUUGUGUACGAUCGCCCACACUCCACGCUUGCCAGAACACUGCAUCGAGUACGUCCGGAUCCUUCUGUGGCCCAAGGAGGAACCAUUCGGUAGUGGGGUGAGUAUUGACGGGGACGACCCUCAUCACAUUAAGUGGAUCCUGGAGAAAUCCAUAGCGCGAGCUAACGAGUACAACAUCAAGGGAGUUAACUACAGACUGACUCAGGGUGUAGUGAAGAGAAUUAUCCCAGCUGUGGCAUCUACCAACGCAGUAAUAGCAGCUGCUUGUGCGACAGAAGUGUUCAAAAUAGCCUCAAGGUAAAAUGCAAUAAAUUUAUUGCAAAAAUUUUCUCGAGCAAACAUUUCUUUAUACUUGUAAAGGAAAUUCGUGUACUGUUGAUUUAUAGAACAGGCUUUGGUCAGUAUAGGUAAGUACUUAUGGUACGCAUAGCUUUUAUACUGGUACUGUCAGCAUUGUCAUUUUAAAGAUGUGAUUAUUUUUACCAGGCCUAUAUUGACAAUUCAUUUAUUUGUGAUAAAAUCCUCUUGUGGAACAUCUUAACAGAUAGAGGGGGAACACCAAUGAUUUCAACACUUUCACUUGUUAUGUCUUAUUUCCUUAAAGCCUUUUCAGAAAAAAAGAAAACUAAUACUAAAUUCAUUAUACAAUGUACAUGUAAUUAGAUAGUAGACACAUAUAAAGAUGAGGAAAUAAUUAAGUCCCGGACAAAUUUUUUAUUUAUCAGUUGAUAUAGAAUUCCAAUCCAGCUCAGUUACCGUAAUUGUCAUGUUUCUAACACACAUGUACAACAUGUACCUUGUCAUGGUCAUUUCGCUUGCUAUGUAACAACCUAAUGCAUAAAUUAAUUGAAUAUUAACAGGCAAUAAUAAACACUUGUUUUUAAAAAAACCCAAUACAUUCAUAUACGGGACGAUGCAUUAAUCACAAACCAAUAUGCUCUGCUGCCAUAGCACGGUAAGGAAGGUGAUUCUUUUUAUGAUCAAGAUUGAGGGGGAACACGAUUUGAGCUACAACUGAACCGUGACUGAUAUAUGUAUACAUCCUGCCUGACAAUAACUAAAUGCAGUACAACAUGGUGUUUGUCUUCUCCAAGAUUGACUCAUUAUCGCGAUUAAGGGGCACUAAUAAAAUACAACAUGCUGCGUUUGGUAACGAUGCAACGCAAUCUGAUACAAUGAUUACGAAUGAUUGUGUUUGAAAAUUAAUCUUGUUGAUUGUAACUGUGAUUACAAUCCUGAUGGUGGGGACGUAGCAUAAUCACAUGCAUUAGAAAUAAGGUUGCCCAAAGUUAAUUCUACGUUUCAAGUCAGUUAAAAAUUCAAAACCUUCAAGGGAGGGCUAUAAAAUUCAAAAAUCAUUUUUCUCAUUCGUUUACAUCAGUAAAAAUACAAUGAGCAUUCAAGCUACAUAUAGGCUACCUCUUUAAUUAUGAUCUAUCUUUACAAUCCCAUUGAGUUUAAAAGUUCCGUUUUGCUCUAAACAUUUCGAAUUUCUACAGCUUGCAGUACGUGUAUUUUAAUAAAAUAUAACUAGAAAAAUUCAAAUGAAAAUAGGGUUUUGUUUGUUUUUUAAGAAACGCAGUUUCUCCUAAACCUACACACAUGGGUUAUGUUAAACAAAGAAUUAACUUGGGACAGCCUAAUUACAUUUCUUUGAGGUCCUCAAAUACAGACAAAGGUGUAAAUACAUUGCUAUUACUUGACCUGUUCCUGAGGCCUCUAUGUUCACUAUUUCAGUUGCUGUUUACCAUUGAAUAAUUACAUGAACUUUAACGAUACUGCAGGGAUCACAACCUGUAUAGCAGGCAAGAACAAAACUCUGUACAUGCAGACAGUUAAAUCUAUAGAACAGCGAACAAAGGAAAAUCUCAAGAAGACCCUAAAAGAAUUGGGUCUGGCAGAUGGACAAGAACUGUACGUAGCUGACCCCACGACCCCUUCAUCCUUGACCUUUAAACUCCAACUGGGUUCAAAUAUGGAGUGAUGCCAUGUGACAUUUCUGCUGGUUGUCAUUUGACAGUGUCAUGUGACACUAAACAGUGCAAUCAAACAACAAUUAUUCUGUGCUUUGUGAAUUCUAUUGAGGAGACAUUCUGUGAACUGUAAGCUAUUGAGGAGACAUUCUGUGAACUGUAAGCUUGUGAAUUCUAGUGAGGAGACAUUCUGUGUAAGCUUUCAUUUUAGUGUUGCCAGUGGAACAAUAUUUUGACAUUAAAGUGAAUAAAAUUAUGACGUUACUCAUUAAUGACCUCUGAAAUGUUGGAUAUAGAAUAUUAUAGAAUAUUUUUGUUGUUUCCGUAUGGGCAAAUAUUAUUACAGAUUAGUGAAGGUUUUUAACAACUUAUAUCCUAAUGAAAUGCUUAUCAUAUACAUGUAUGCUUGUAUCGAUUACUGCAUUUCUUGUUUCUGAAUGAAAUAUCCAAUUG
rnacentral:misc_RNA from 1 species